CCGUUACAAAGCUCAUUUAAUUUUAUUUAGUUGUACUUUGGCAACAUCUUGAACUCUUUUUCAUGUUCUUUAAACCAUUCCUUUACAAUCUUUGCAGUGUGACAGGGUGCUGAGGGCCUACUGUAAGGCUUUUCCCUGUAAACGGCUUCUCCACAGAAACCUCACACAAUUCGAAAGCCUUUGCAUGGCUAGGCGAAACAUAGAGAAGGGGAUCUUUCUGCAGGAGAAAUUAAGCCUGUUCUGAAAUACAUGGCUAAAUGGGAAAGGGAGACAGGCGUCACUUCGAUCGGUCAAGACUGGACAAAAUUCUCAUACUCACCCACACAUACAUGCUGUAUCAGGAGACAAGCUUAAAGCUGCUGUCCCACAGGUACAGAACACCCGACGCACUACACCGCAUUAACGCAGACAUAUCAGGCAAAUGCUGGAGAUGUGGACACGCCACCAGUACAGCUCUACACAUAUGGUGGAACUGCCCUGACAUAGCCCCUUUCUGGAAGAUGGUAACCAGGAAGAUCUGGCAGAUCACAGAUUCCGACCUACCACUCCAGCCCCUUUCCAUGCUACUUUGCCAUACAGACGUGUAAUUAAAAACAUAUAAAAAGUCACUCACAAAACAUCUCCUGACAGCCGCAAAGUCUCUAAUACCCACACUGUGGAAGCAGAAGGGUGCGCCCACCAUCUGGCAAUGGGUAGACAGAAUAGGCGAGAUCUACAACAUGGAAUCCUUGACUGCAAACCUACAUGGGCGCCUAGACAAAUGUAGCCAGACUUGGGCACC